rnacentral:lncRNA from 1 species
GAGGGCAUGCAGUAGACAACUGAUCAAGACAGUACAACAGAAUUAGAUUAUAGAAACACAUAUUUUGAAACACUUUUGUGUAAGUAUCUCAUUUAUACCAAAACUUAAAAAUAAAUUUACUAAUGUCUAAAUAUAAAGUCCAAUCCAACCAAAAAUAAAAUAUUACUCUACUCAACCCACCCCACCCAGCCCAUUUGGUCCGAUUACAAACAGAAAAGAAAAAAACAAAAAGAAAAAUCGAUUACCAUCUCCCCUUCUCUUCUCACUCAAUCCAUUGAAAUCCUAAACGAAUAUUCCUUCCUUUCGUCCUCCUCCGCCACCGCAGCCAACGAUGUAGAGUUCCGGCAAUUGCUAAAUGCUUAAAUAAAUAUUGGUAAAUUAGCAGUAUUCUUUUAGGUUAUAGCGACACUCUUUAACUGUCACUAUAUACCUAGCGACCCCAUGCACAUAUAGCAAUACUUUUCAAAAGUGUCGGUAAUUUAGCCAGCAGCAUUUUUUUUGACCUAUACCGACAUUUAAAAAUAUCGUUAUAGACCGUUUUUGUUGUAGUGAGAUUGUAAAAGGUCACACAAUUAAUCAACAAAAUGUGUAAACCAUAUA